rnacentral:rRNA from 1 species
AUUGAACGCUGGCGGCAGGCCUAACACAUGCAAGUCGAGCGGAUGAAGGGAGCUUGCUCCUGGAUUCAGCGGCGGACGGGUGAGUAAUGCCUAGGAAUCUGCCUGGUAGUGGGGGAUAACGUCCGGAAACGGGCGCUAAUACCGCAUACGUCCUGCGGGAGAAAGUGGGGGAUCUUCGGAACUCACGCUAGCAGAUGAGCCUAGGUCGGAUUAGCUAGUUGGUGGGGUAAAGGCCUACCAAGGCGACGAUCCGUAACUGGUCUGAGAGGAUGAUCAGUCACACUGGAACUGAGACACGGUCCAGAGUCCUACGGGAGGCAGCAGUGGGGAAUAUUGGACAAUGGGCGAAAGCCUGAUACAGCCAUGCCGCGUGUGUGAAGAAGGUCUUCGGAUUGUAAAGAACUUUAAGUUGGGAGGAAGGGCAGUAAGUUAAUACCUUGCUUUUUUGACGUUACCAACAGAAUAAGCACCGGCUAACUUCGUG